GUCAUCCAGAAUAAGCUUUCCUUCUCAGACCCAUCGCCCCAUUUGCUGUUCUAACUCAAUUUCUCAAUCAGAAUCUUCUAAUUCUACCUCAACUGGAGUGUUCAUCAAAGGAUUGCCUCUGUCAACAGCUGAAGGACGUCUCAAGAAAGCGUUUUCACAGUUUGGGGAGGUCAAACAUGUCAAUGUUGUGAGGAAAAAAUAUCCAAGCAGUCUUUAGGAUCCGCUUUUGUUUGGUUCGAUAAGGAAGAGUCCGCGCAGCUAGCCGUGAACGAGAUGAGUGGGAAGUUUUUUGAUGGCAGGUUCGUUUUAG